UACAGAGGUCCCAAGCGUUGUUCGGAUUCACUGGGCGUAAAGGGUGCGUAGGUGGUGAGGUAAGUCGGAUGUGAAAGCUCGGAGCUCAACUCCGAAAUGGCAUUGGAAACUACCUUGCUCGAGGGUUGGAGGGGGGACUGGAAUACUUGGUGUAGCAGUGAAAUGCGUAGAUAUCAAGUGGAACACCGGUGGCGAAGGCGGGUCUCUGGGCCAUAACUGACGCUGAGGAGCGAAAGCGUGGGGAGCGAACAGG
rnacentral:rRNA from 1 species